CUGCAGCUGCUCCAGCGUUUGUUGUUGCUUGGAGUUUCUCCUGAGUUCCUGCUGUCACGAUGGGAAUAGCAUUUGCCAGUCUGACCAGCUGAAUGGCUGCCAUACCAACCCCGCUAGCUCCAGCGUGGAUCAACACUGUUUCCCCUUUCUGUAUUUUACCUACAAAAUGCAGCAGCUGAAAAGCUGUUAACCAGGCCUCUGGAAUGGCUGCAGCCUGAAUAAAAG
rnacentral:lncRNA from 1 species